CGCGCAGGCGGUCGUUCAAGUCGCGUGUGAAAGCCCCCGGCUCAACUGGGGAGGGUCACGCGAUACUGGUCGACUCGAAGGCAGGAGAGGGUAGUGGAAUUCCCGGUGUAGUGGUGAAAUGCGUAGAUAUCGGGAGGAACACCAGUGGCGAAGGCGACUACCUGGCCUGUUCUUGACGCUGAGGCGCGAAAGCUAGGGGAGCAAACG
rnacentral:rRNA from 1 species